ACUCCCUGCUGCCCGGGCUGUGCGCUGCAGGUGCUCGCGGGUUCAGCAGGGGUGCAGCACGGGGACCUUGCCCUUCUUCUCCCUGCCCAGGUGGCACGGCACCCUCCAGCCCGCUCCUCCUGGCCUGACAACGGGCUGCGAGCUUCUUUAGCCCAGAUUCUCCUCUGCUCCGCUGCCGCCGGCCACCCUGCCCGCCUACCUGUGCCGGACUGGUGCGCGCUCUCACUCUCUCUUCCUGGGAGACCAUCGACCAGAGCGCACGCAUUUUCGUGGGGGCGAAGGAGGAGGGCAUGGCCACCAGCGAGAAGGAGCGAUUUUCAGGACUGCUCUUCUUCUCGCUCUCCCGCGCCGAGAGAGCUCUUCUUUCCACCUCUAUGGCCAAAGAGAAGAACAGAUCAGGACCGGGGAGUCCGUUCCUUCAGCGGCUUUGAGACUUCCAGGGAGGAAAUCAUGAUUCAGAGGGCCUGCAAGCCUGUUACGGAACCUAGACCAGCCUUCUCUGGAGGGGACACACAUCUUUGUCUAAAGCUUAGCAAACACCAGCAUCCAGAGGCCAGCCAGUAGGAAAUCCCGAGCGGGUCACAGAGUCUGGCAUCCUUGAGAACUGAACUCAGCACCUCCCCCAGACAGCUGUCCCUGCCCUGAUCUGCUUUUGACAGACACUGUCUUUUUGAAAGGUACGCGGAGUCUGAACCAGGGAAAAAAUAUUCUAACUUAGGGAAAUGCAGGAUCCAAGCUGCUGAGUCCUUUGCCAUUCAAUUCUGUAGCUUAAAUAUUCUAGGGAGAAGGAGGCUUCGAAGGCUGUGGAGAGGAGAAGGUUGGGUCUUUCCUUAAUUUCCAAGAGAUCUGACACCCAAAUUUGGCAAGCUGCCUCGAGGAAGCCCCUGGCUGGCCCCCCAUCCUGUUAUCACAAGUGCACCAGCAGAGACAAUAUGAAAAAACUACAAACAUUCCCUGAUGGGGUCAAGGAGGUCAAAUCCCGUUCCACUGGAAACCUUCUUACAUUGCCACAGUGUGCAGGCCAGAGCUGGGGGUGGGGGAGGCAGAGGGGAUGGAGAAGGCCAGGUUGGUGAAUGCAAUGUUACAGGCGGCAUUUCCACUCAGAGUACAUGCGGCCGACAUUCUAGAGCAUCACAUCUCACUCAAUAAAAGUGCAUGCCAGCUCUGUGUUCUUCUCCGU
rnacentral:lncRNA from 1 species